rnacentral:rRNA from 1 species
GACGAACGCUGGCGGCGUGCUUAACACAUGCAAGUCGAACGGAAAAGCCCUGCUUUUGUGGGUUGCUCGAGUGGCGAACGGGUGAGUAACACGUGAGUAACCUGCCCUUGACUUUGGGAUAACUUCAGGAAACUGGGUCUAAUACCGGAUAGGAGCUCCUGCUGCAUGGUGGGGGUUGGAAAGUUUCGGCGGUUGGGGCUGGACUCGCGGCUUAUCAGCUUGUUGGUGGGGUAGUGGCUUACCAAGGCUUUGACGGGUAGCCGGCCUGAGAGGGUGACCGGCCACAUUGGGACUGAGAUACGGCCGAGACUCCUACGGGAGGCAGCAGUGGGGAAGAUUGCACGAUGGGCGGAAGCCUGAUGCAGCAACGCCGCGUGCGGGAUGACGGCCUUCGGGUUGUAAACCGCUUUCGCCUGUGACGAAGCGUGAGUGACGGUAAUGGGUAAAGAAGCACAGGCUAACUACGUG